rnacentral:rRNA from 1 species
GAUGAACGCUAGCGACAGGCCUAACACAUGCAAGUCGAGGGGCAGCAUGAAAUUAGCUUGCUAAUUUUGAUGGCGACCGGCGCACGGGUGAGUAACACGUAUGCAACCUGCCUGUAAGCGGGGGAUAACCCGGAGAAAUUCGGACUAAUACCGCAUAAUAUCAUUGAUUCGCAUGUUUCAAUGAUUAAAAAUUUAUUGCAUACAGAUGGGCAUGCGUAUGAUUAGCUAGUUGGCGGGGUAACGGCCCACCAAGGCGACGAUCAUUAGGGGUUCUGAGAGGAAGGUCCCCCACAUUGGGACUGAGACACGGUCCAAACUCCUACGGGAGGCAGCAGUGAGGAAUAUUGGUCAAUGGACGCAAGUCUGAACCAGCCAUGUCGCGUGAAGGAUGACUGUCCUAUGGAUUGUAAACUUCUUUUAUAUGGGGAUAAAGUGUGAGACUUGUCUCAUUUUGCAUGUACCAUAUGAAUAAGCAUCGGCUAACUCCGUGCCAGCCGCCGCGGUAAGAC